AUUUGUCUUGUUGCACUCGAAUUUCUGCUUUUAUUUAACACGGAGUAGGAUAUAUACUAUGAGAAAUAGUGUUACAAACAAAUUACAUACUUGGUAAAACUUUGCUGCCUUUUGUUUUGGUUCAAAUGCACUACGCGUGGCAAUACUCGGUAUUGUUUAUAGUCAUGAAAUUGUUUUUACCCAGCCAAUGACGUCAGAUAAUGUAUUUGGAGGCAUAAAUUAGCAUACGCGCUUAUUUUCAAAAUGGCGGACAACUGUUGAACUUUCUAUCAAAUUUUCUCAACAACUAAACGCGACAAACCGGCCAAAAUAUGAAAUUAAAUAUUCCGCAAGUAUACCAAAGAGAUAUAAGUAAUAAAAAUUUUGGGUGCCAAUGUCCUUUAACUGUCUUGAAAUAUUUUGUCGGGCGGUUCAUUUAUAUUGUUAACAAAAUAUAAAAAAUUUCACACGUCUCUUAAAAUACAGUCGGGCGGUGAUGAGAAUCAAGGAAUUUAUUUUAUGUGGUCUAAUAGAC